AUUGAACGCUGGCGGCAUGCUUUACACAUGCAAGUCGAACGAGUGGCGAACGGGUGAGUAACAUAUCGGAACGUACCUAGUAAUGGGGGAUCACUAAUCGAAAGAUUAGCUAAUACCGCAUAUUAUUCGAGCGGCCGAUAUCGGAUUAGCUGGUGGGUGGGGUAAAGGCCGACCAAGGCGACGAUCUGUAGCGGGUCUGAGAGGAUGAUCAGCCACACUGGGACUGAGACACGGCCCAGACUCCUACGGGAGGCAGCAGUGGGGAAUUUUGGACAAUGGGCGCAAGCCUGAUCCAGCCAUGCCGCGUGUAUGAAGAAGGCCUUCGGGUUGUAAAGGACUUUUGUCAGGGAAGCGGUACCUGCAGAAUAAGCACCGGCUAACUACGUGCCAGCAGCCGCGGUAAUAC
rnacentral:rRNA from 1 species